CACAGACCUUUUGGGACAGAGAGGACAUGGCGCUGGUCUUUCCUGCUCUGCACCAGAUGGGAUGGUUGCAACACUCUCUGUGUGGAACUGCCCUUGAAGGCGACUCGGGAACUGGCCCAAAAUGCAGCAGCCAGAUGAUUGGCUGGGCUGCCUCUCUUUAUGAAGGACUUUCGUCUCCCACCUCUUUGUCCAAAGAGAUCAAGGUGGCAUCCAUGGGUCUACCCUUCCCCACUGAGUCCCCCCACAACAAACAAGUUGGAUUCCUGUUUUAAAACAGUUGCACUGGUUGUUUCCAUUCCAGCAGGACCUCUCCUGCUUUGGAUGCCUUGGCUUGUUAGACCUCCUGCGGUGCUUUCAUAGAACUAUAGAGGUGGAUGGCACCCCAAGGAUCAUCUAGUCCAACCCACAGCAGUCUCAGAGGGCAAACUUGCAUCUGGAGGAACUAAGCACUGGAGGAGAAAAUGGGCCCUUCAGAAUCAGGCCAGAGGGCUGCCUCCUAUAGGGGAGACAGAGAAGAGGAGCCACCCAUCGCCCUCUCCUUCUCCUCCACAGAUUGGCCUCCUCCUCCUCCUUGAUUGGUGGCCUCUGCCUGUUGUGGGAGGGAGUUCCACAGGUUUUACUCUGCCCUGCAAGAGGAAGCACUUUCUCUUCUCUGCCUUCCUUCCUUCCUUCCUUCCUUGCACAGGUGAGGUUUUAGGGACCAGGGUAUAUUUCAUGUCCGGAUGUUUCCAUCUGCGGACAACCUCUGUUAUACAAGGGGACUGAUCCAUACAUCUGAAUGGG
rnacentral:lncRNA from 1 species